rnacentral:lncRNA from 1 species
GGGUGAGGUGUGACUUCCCAGAGCAGCGAGCUUCAGUGUCUGACUACAUGGGGCAAGGAAAGACACCAGUGGACAAAAGGUGCUGUGCUGGAGAGAGCAUGUGGAGAGACACCACAGAGAGUGAUGUCCAAGGAUCCUCUGCUGUUCUAGCCUCCAGAUGUUUGGUACCAAAUGGAGAGUGAGUGAGGCUUCCAACCCCACCUUUGAGCCACCCCAGCUGAUCCCAGUAGAGCAGAGAUGAGCUGUCCCCACCAAGUCUUGCCCAGAUUGCA